rnacentral:rRNA from 1 species
AGAGUUUGAUCCUGGCUCAGGAUGAACGCUGGCGGCGUGCCUAACACAUGCAAGUCGAACGGAGCGCCCGGACGGAGUAUUUCGGUACAAAGACCGGGUGGCUGAGUGGCGGACGGGUGAGUAACGCGUGGACAACCUGCCGUGUACAGGGGGAUAACAGCCGGAAACGGCUGCUAAUACCGCAUAUGCGCACAGUGCCGCAUGGCACAGGGCGGAAAGCCUAGAUCUUAUCUAGUACGGUACACGAUGGGUCCGCGUCUGAUUAGGUAGUUGGCGGGGUAACGGCCCACCAAGCCCACGAUCAGUAGCCGGCCUGAGAGGGCGGACGGCCACACUGGGACUGAGACACGGCCCAGACUCCUGCGGGAGGCAGCAGUGGGGAAUAUUGCACAAUGGGGGGAACCCUGAUGCAGCGACGCCGCGUGAAGGAAGAAGUAUCUCGGUAUGUAAACUUCUAUCAGCAGGGAAGAAAGAGGCCGGUACCUGACUAAGAAGCCCCGGCUAACUACGUGCCAGCAGCCGCGGUAAUACGUAGGGGGCGAGCGUUAUCCGGAUUUACUGGGUGUAAAGGGAGCGUAGACGGCCAUGCAAGCUCGGUGUGAAAGGUGCGGGCACAACCCGCAGACUGCACUGAGAACUGUAUGGCUGGAGUGCCGGAGGGGCAGGCGGAAUUCCUGGUGUAGCGGUGAAAUGCGUAGAUAUCAGGAGGAACACCGGUGGCGAAGGCGGCCUGCUGGACGGCGACUGACGUUGAGGCUCGAAAGCGUGGGGAGCGAACAGGAUUAGAUACCCUGGUAGUCCACGCCGUAAACG